AUGGAAUAUUUGUCAGUCCACCCAGCUGUAACUGGGUACUGGCCUUGUCUGUGGAAGUGACAGGUGAUGGACUGGCCUCCCAUCAAGGGGGAGUCAUGGAUUCACAUCCGCUUCAAGCUAUGAAUCCAGGAAUAAGCACCAGCACCCAUAGCCUCAGCGCCUAAACAGGACU